CUGCGAUGUAGCCAAAUUGGUAAGGCAGUGGACUCUGAAUCCAUAAUGUUCCGGUUCGAGCCCGGACAUCGCAA
rnacentral:tRNA from 1 species